UGGCUCCAAGGUUGUCUGGCCGUUGGUUGGAGUGCUGCUGGCCCUGGCUGUGGCUUUGAUCUCCACACUGUACUACUUCAGCAGACUACCCAAAAAGUGUCGACAUCAGUUUGCCAAGAAAGGACCAUUGGAGUAAUUCAGAGCGCCCACACUGCAGACGCAGAGACAGUGCUGUAUUUACUGUAUGUGUCCUUACAGGGAUCUCCUUCCACUUUAUGAAUCUGAAGACUGUUUUAUCAUCAUCUUACUUUUCUAUUCUUUGUUCAUUACAACGAUGAACCAACCUGAAGUUCCAACUGUCUAAAAGAAAACAUUUAGGAUUCUGUUCACAAUGUUAACGUCUCUGGCUAUGGAUUUGUAAUUAAGGGGAUGUAUCAUAUAUAAAACCUUUAUAUUGAAGCAGUAUUACUCUGGUAUGUGCUAGUAUUGCACCAAUGCUAUACAUUCUGCUGCGGUAGCCUAAUGUUAUGAUUAUUGGAUUUGUGCAACAUGUAUUGAUGAUAA